CUGUUAAUGAGGUUUAGUGGUACACGCAUAGAUCUCUCUAAAUGUUAGCAGAUGUUCACUGGUGGGUGCCAGCUAUAAAAGAGGCUAUUAAUUAGAUAAAGAGGUAGUUCCAGUGAAAGACAUUCAACUGCUUGUUAUUGGUGCCUUAGUACUUGCUCAACAGGCUUAAUGACACGGGCUUUCUCUCCCUGAGGCUGGCAGAGCCUCACAGGUAGGAAUGAUGCAGGGUCCCUGAUCUGGUACCUUUCCCCAGUGGGAACAGCUAGUCUACUCAUGGACUUGCUUUUCCUGCCUAUGGUACUUCUGCUAAAAGAUUACAGUAUGCUUCUUCUCUGUUACAGCACCUCAGAUGGUCUCAUUUCUGAAUAAAAUGCUCAUUUACAAGCAAAAUAAGGAGACAAUGACAUCCGGCCGUAGGAAUUCAAUGGUUCUGAACUCCACCUCUAGAAAAAGCUUGCCUACUGGACUGAUCCUGAAGACUCACUCACUCAUGGUUGCAUCCAGAGUAUGAGGACUUGUGGGCAAGCACCUUUACCCACGAGCCAUCUCACAGCCUCCUGCAAAUUGUUUUCUGAUCUCCACAAGUGUGUGCACAUGCAGACACACACAUACACUGUUAAAUAAAUCUGGAUUGGAAAGUCA